CUCUUUAUAGGGAGACACUCUGAGAAAGAGCACACUGUGGGGGCCCACUCCAUGGGAUGUUUUCUUGAUUGCCUGUUCCCCUUUCUACCUGCAGAGCCCGGUUCCCAUAAGGGCAGUGGGAUCAGCCUCCUGUCUCAUCUGGAAGACCACCACUCUGUGGUCUCAGAGGAAUGAUGGAAGCCUUGGGGGUUCUAAAAUUGGACGUGAAUGGCCCCAUGGUGACGGUGGCCCUGUCAGUGGCUCUCUUGGCCCUUCUGAAGUGGUACUCCACGUCAGCAUUCUCAAGACUGGAGAAGUUAGGCCUCAGACAUCCCAAGCCUUCUCCUUUUAUUGGAAAUUUGAUGUUUUUCCGCCAGGGUUUUUGGGAAAGCCAAAUGGAGCUCAGAAAGCUGUAUGGACCUCUGUGUGGGUACUAUCUUGGUCGUCGGAUGUUUAUUGUUAUUUCUGAGCCAGACAUGAUCAAGCAGGUGUUGGUUGAGAACUUCAGUAACUUUACCAACAGAAUGGCGUCGGGUUUGGAGUUCAAGUCAGUAGCCGACAGCGUUCUGUUUUUACGUGACAAAAGAUGGGAAGAGGUCAGAGGUGCCCUGAUGUCUGCUUUCAGUCCUGAAAAGCUGAACGAGAUGACUCCCCUCAUCAGCCAAGCCUGCGACCUUCUCCUGGCUCAUUUAAAACGCUAUGCGGAAUCUGGGGACGCAUUUGACAUCCAGAGGUGCUACUGCCAUUACACCACAGAUGUGGUUGCCAGCGUCGCCUUCGGCACCCCGGUGGACUCCCAGCAGGCCCCUGAGGAUCCCUUUGUGAAACACUGCAAGCGUUUCUUCGAAUUCUGCAUCCCCAGACCUAUCCUGGUUUUACUCUUAUCAUUUCCAUCCAUAAUGGUCCCACUGGCCCGGAUUUUGCCCAAUAAGAACCGAGAUGAACUGAAUGGCUUUUUUAACAAACUCAUUAGGAAUGUGAUUGCCUUGCGGGACCAGCAAGCUGCCGAAGAGAGGCGCAGGGACUUCCUCCAAAUGGUCCUGGAUGCCCGACAUUCGGCAAGUCCCGUGGGCGUGCAAGACUUCGACAUCGUCAGAGACGUCUUCUCCUCUACCGGGUGCAAGCCGAGCCCUUCCUGGCAACACCAGCCCAGGCCCAUGGCCAGGCCUUUGACUGUGGAUGAGAUUGUGGGCCAGGCCUUCAUCUUCCUCAUUGCUGGCUAUGAAAUCGUCACCAACACACUUUCUUUUGCCACCUACCUACUGGCCACCAACCCUGACUGCCAAGAGAAGCUUCUGAGAGAGGUGGACCUUUUUAAGGAGAAACACGUGGUCCCUGAGUUCUGCAGCCUCGAGGAAGGCCUGCCCUAUCUGGACAUGGUGAUUGCAGAGACGCUGAGGAUGUACCCACCAGCUUUCAGGUUCACACGUGAGGCGGCUCAGGACUGCGAGGUGCUGGGGCAGCGCAUCCCCGCAGGUGCUGUGCUAGAGAUGGCUGUGGGUGCCCUGCACCAUGACCCUGAGCACUGGCCAAGCCCAGAGACCUUUGACCCUGAAAGGUCCAAACUGAGUCCAGACAUUUAGCAUUUCAGCAGCCCUGCAUGCAAGAAACAAGGCAAUUUCAAAUGAUUGUCUUCCAUUCAUUCAAGCCAGGACAUGGGAUACAGGAUUGUAUUUCAGGUCUGCACUGGAAAGUAACAGAACAUCAUUUCCUUUUUUAAAAACGGGCGUCUAUGCCAAAACAACAGCUUCAGCUAAUGUCUGCAUGACUCUAAAUUCAUGGGAUCUGCUGGUUGACCUGGGUCCCCUCCUUCCACCACCUGGCUUUGGUUCAUUGUCUCCUCUCAUUUCUGGACUCUGUGAUUGGAAACAUCUGAGCAGGCGGCCACACCCUGGUCCUCAUCAGAACCACUCAAUACCCCCUCUGUGUGCGUGCUCUGGCAAGGGAAGGGCUGGCCCGGUACCAGUUGUGUUUUCACCUUUCUUGGCUCCAACUGAAUUCAGCCCAAGUCUACGACCCAGUCACCGGGAAAGCGUGAGCAAUGGGAUCUACACAAAUAAUAUUCCACAGACAUCAGCUCCUGAACACGCUGCAGCCACAGGGCUUACAGCCUCACAAUAAAGCCGGGAGUAGUAAAAAGUGAGCUCGCUGUUACAGAAGAGUGCCACCUAGCUUCACUGUCAUGGGCUGCACGCUGCAGGCAAAUGCACUACUUGGUAGGAGAUUCAGCAGUUCUGAGGAAGGGCCUCCAGCUCUCCAGGUACUGCAGCUCCCAAUGGUUCAAGUGUCCAGUGCAGGGGCCUGCAAAGCAAGCAUGGGCAGGAGAGGCGCUGCCAGUGUGGUUCAAGAGACCUGCAGGGCAAACCAGUAGGAUACGCCCCCCAGGAUGGGCCCGGGAGGUGCUGAGGUGCCUGGUACCCUGCCAAGGAAAUAAGCAGGUGGUGGCUGGGUCAUCCUGUGGGAGGGGAGGUGGUGCCAUGGGCCCAGGUGAGGACUAGGAUCGCCAAGCCCUGGGGUUCAAGGAUGCCGUGUUUAGACUCUGAUUGUGGGUGGCGGUGAGUCUGUGGGCUUAUUAGCCACACACCGAAUUCCUAAGGAGAGGCACGGAGGGUGCUGUGGACAUUCCAGGUGAUUCUGCGGAUUCAGCUCUGCCUCUAGGGCUGUGCAGGAAGACAGGAGGCCAGGAGCAGAGAGGGACUGAGGCUCAGGAAUGAGCAGCCAUAAGCUCCCAGAGCCUUAGGGACAUCCUUGUCUCAGAUGUAGGGGUGGCUCAGCUGGAGUACAGGGCUGCAGAGGGGAGGGAGAGGGUGUUCUGAGCCAGCCCUGACCACACGGACCUGCAGGUUCACCGCUGAGGCCAAGCAGCAGCACCGGCCCUUCACGUACCUGCCCUUCGGGGCCGGCCCACGGAGCUGCCUCGGGGUGCGGCUAGGGCUGCUGGAGGUCAAGUUGACACUGCUCCACGUGCUGCACAAGUUCCAGUUCCAAGCCUGCCCUGAGACCCAGGUACCGCUGCAGCUAGAAUCCAAAUCUGCCCUAGGUCCAAAAAACGGUGUCUAUAUCAAGAUUGUAUCCCGCUGACACAGAAGGCUGCCGGGUGGAGGGAGGGCACCCCCAAAUUCAAAGAAAAUCCUGAGUGUGGAUAUUCAGAAUUUUGGAAAAACGUCACUGAAGGGAUUGAAAGAGUGCCUGGCAUGCAAGGAUAAGAGGUUCUUUACAUAACAUUUCCUAAAUGCUUAAUAAACGUUUGUUGCACUUUGUUUUGACAUUGCCAA